CGAAAGUUACGCUAAUACCGCAUACGAUCUAAGGAUGAAAGCGGGGGAUCGCAAGACCUCGCGCGAUUGGAGCGGCCGAUAUCANAUUAGGUAGUUGGUGGGGUAAAGGCUCACCAAGCCAACGAUCUGUAGCUGGUCUGAGAGGACGACCAGCCACACUGGAACUGAGACACGGUCCAGACUCCUACGGGAGGCAGCAGUGGGGAAUUUUGGACAAUGGACGCAAGUCUGAUCCAGCCAUUCCGCGUGCAGGAUGAAGGCCCUCGGGUUGUAAACUGCUUUUGUACAGAACGAAAAGGCUCUUCCUAAUACGAGGGGCUCAUGACGGUACUGUAAGAAUAAGCACCGGCUAANUACNUGCCAGCAGCCGCGGUAAUACGUAGGGUGCAAGCGUUAAUCGGAAUUACUGGGCGUAAAGCGUGCGCAGGCGGUUAUGUAAGACAGAGGUGAAAUCCCCGGGCUCAACCUGGGAACUGCCUUUGUGACUGCAUAGCUAGAGUACGGUAGAGGGGGAUGGAAUUCCGCGUGUAGCAGUGAAAUGCGUAGAUAUGCGGAGGAACACCGAUGGCGAAGGCAAUCCCCUGGACCUGUACUGACGCUCAUGCACGAAAGCGUGGGGAGCAAACAGGAUUAGAUACCCUGGUAGUCCACGCCCUAAACGAUGUCAACUGGUUGUUGGGUCUUAACUGACUCAGUAACGAAGCU
rnacentral:rRNA from 1 species